UAGGGAAUCUUCGGCAAUGGACGAAAGUCUGACCGAGCAACGCCGCGUGAGUGAAUAAGGUUUUCGGAUCGUAAAACUCUGUUGUUAGAGAAGAACAAGGACGUUAGUAACUGAACGUCCCCUGAUGGUAUCUAACCAGAAAGCCACGGCUAACUACGUGCCAGCAGCCGCGGUAAUACGUAGGUGGCAAGCGUUGUCCGGAUUUAUUGGACGUAAAGCGAGCGCAGGCGGUUUCUUAAGUCUGAUGUGAAAGCCCCCGGCUCAACCGGGGAGGGUCAUUGGAAACUGGGAGACUUGAGUGCAGAAGAGGAGAGUGGAAUUCCAUGUGUAGCGGUGAAAUGCGUAGAGAUGUGGAGGAAUACCGGUGGCGAAGGCGGCCCCCUGGACAAAGACUGACGAUCAGGUGCGAAAGCGUAGGGAGCAAACAGG
rnacentral:rRNA from 1 species